CAGACGGACAAGAGGUCUCUUGGGGCUUGCAAACGCAGUGCUCGUGGUGCUACCUGUUGCAGGUUCAAAGAGUCAAGAGGGUGCUUGCCACCCCUUCCUUCACUGCCAACCGCCCACUCUCUCCUCGUCUCCAGACUUGAAGGUGAAUGUGGCUGGAGAAAGACAAGAGGAUGCUAAUGUGUCACCAGGAGGGAUCAGUGCUGCUGAACGAGCCCACGCUUCCCUGUAACACAAGAAAUGUACUUUCAAAUGAGCCACUAUCAGAAACCAAAAAGCCACUUCUCAAGGAUCUGACGGAUUUGUCUAAUACCAUAUGGAGGAUAAUAACUGUGCCAGCUUCUGAACCCAGACCUUAAUAGACUGCCAAGUUUUGCUUCCUAUCUCUUGGAAUGCUCACUUUGGGGGAUGCCAACUGCCAUAUAAGAAGUCUGAAUAACUUGA